ensembl:snRNA U1 U1 spliceosomal RNA
AAGCCUCAGAGACAGAGAUACCGUGACCAUGAAGGUCACUUUCCCAAGGUAAAGCUCAUUCAAUGCACUCUGUCUGUCCUGACCCUGGUAGUCCACAAGUGUGGGAAACUUCACUGCAUAAUUUGUGGUAGUGGGGAAUUGCAUUUAUUCAGGAUCCCCC